rnacentral:rRNA from 1 species
ACGGGAGGCAGCAGUGGGGAAUAUUGCACAAUGGGCGAAAGCCUGAUGCAGCGACGCCGCGUGAGCGAAGAAGUAUUUCGGUAUGUAAAGCUCUAUCAGCAGGGAAGAAAAAUGACGGUACCUGACUAAGAAGCACCGGCUAAAUACGUGCCAGCAGCCGCGGUAAUACGUAUGGUGCAAGCGUUAUCCGGAUUUACUGGGUGUAAAGGGAGCGCAGGCGGUACGGCAAGUCUGAUGUGAAAGCCCGGGGCUCAACCCCGGUACUGCAUUGGAAACUGUCGAACUAGAGUGCCGGAGGGGUAAGUGGAAUUCCUAGUGUAGCGGUGAAAUGCGUAGAUAUUAGGAGGAACACCAGUGGCGAAGGCGGCUUACUGGACGAUCACUGACGCUGAGGCUCGAAAGCGUGGGGAGCAAACAGGAUUAGAUACCCUGGUA